rnacentral:rRNA from 1 species
UACGGAGGGUGCAAGCGUUAUCCGGAUUCACUGGGUUUAAAGGGUGCGUAGGUGGGCUUGUAAGUCAGUGGUGAAAUCUCCGUGCUUAACAUGGAAACUGCCAUUGAUACUAUGGGUCUUGAAUCUUCUGGAGGUCAGCGGAAUAUGUCAUGUAGCGGUGAAAUGCUUAGAUAUGACAUAGAACACCGAUUGCGAAGGCAGCUGACUACAGGGGGCAUUGACACUGAGGCACGAAAGCGUGGGGGAUCAAACAGG